rnacentral:rRNA from 1 species
UGAACGCUGGCGGCGUGCUUAACACAUGCAAGUCGUACGAGAAAUCUUCAGCUUGCUGAAGAGAGUAAAGUGGCGCACGGGUGAGUAACGCGUGGAUAAUCUAUCCUUGAAUCGGGGAUAACAUUGCGAAAGCGAUGCUAAUACCGGAUGAUAUCAUAAAGGCUUCGGUUUUAAUGAUCAAAGAUGACCUCUACCUGUAAGUUGUUGUUUGAGGAGGAGUCCGCGUACCAUUAGCUUGUUGGUAGGGUAAUGGCCUACCAAGGCCACGAUGGUUAGCUGGUCUGAGAGGAUGAUCAGCCACACUGGAACUGACACACGGUCCAGACUCCUACGGGAGGCAGCAGUGAGGAAUUUUGCGCAAUGGGGGAAACCCUGACGCAGCAACGCCGCGUGAGUGAUGAAGGCUUUAGGGUCGUAAAGCUCUGUCAAGUGGGAAGAACCUAUCCGGAAUUAAUACGUUCGGGUACUGACGGUACCACUGAAGGAAGCACCGGCUAACUCC